rnacentral:lncRNA from 1 species
CGGGCAGUGAAAAGGGAGAGGAACAGCAGAACCUCAAAGGAAGUUGGGCCAGGGAGAUGGUGCAGCCGGUCCAGUGCCUGCUGCAUACGCAUAAGGACUCACUUCCAUCCCCAGCACCCACGUAACGGGCAGGCAUGGCUGCACAUGCUUGUAAGCCCAGUCCUGGGGACAGGAGCAGUCCUGGAACUUGCUGGACCCACCCACCUGGCAGGCCUGGAGACCCUGACAGCUUUCUUUCUUCACCUGCGCCUGGCAGCAGUGACACAGGUAGCUUGAGAUGGAAUUGGUCCACAGCCACCCACUAGAUUUCUGGGAAGAGGAAGAGAUGGCAACAUGGGCGAUCCCAGAAGAGUCUGGACGUGUCCUGGAGUCCUGGUUCAAAGUUCCGGCACCUUCCCAGCCAGGUCAAGGAUGACAUCAAGCUGGAGGAAGCUGGAAGCAGCUGGUCACACCACAUUUCCAACAGGAAGCAGAGAGAGAUGAAUAUACUGCUGCCCUAUUGCACAGCCCAGGAUCCUAGCCAGGGGAUGACGCCACCCACAGUGGGUGAUCUUCCCACUUCAACACAAUCACAAUCUUCUCCCAUAGACAUACUAAGAGGUCUGGCUCCCAGGUGAUUCCAGAUUUUUGUCAAGCUGACAACACAAAGGAGCUCACUCUGGGACAUGUGGGGACAUUUCACAGGUGGUGAACAACCAACAACCAGAAGAGAAUUUGCCCAGACAAGAGGUCUUGGAAGAGACAUGCCUAGGGAACCUGUUCGCAGGCAGUGGGCCAGCUACAGGGCCCUCAAGCUCUGACUGUGGGUCCAGUGCUUUAUCCAUGA